UGGCUAUGGCUGGGGUCAUCUCCUUUCCAUCGUUGGGCACUACUGUUGACCGCUAGCUUGUGCCUUCCAUUAUUAAGAUGGGAAGAAGAGAGGAAGAGAGGGAAGAUGGAGGAAAAGCUAGCGAAAAAUUUCUCAAAGGCUAGAUCUAGAUCCUACCUCUAGGAUGCCUACACCAGCUCCAUCUGCUUCUUUGAUCCUUCCAUUGCUCUAUUUUAAGGAAGAA
rnacentral:lncRNA from 1 species